rnacentral:rRNA from 1 species
GGACUUAGUGGCGGACGGGUGAGUAACGCGUAGGCAACCUGCCUCUCACAGGGGGAUAGCCAUCGGAAACGGUGAUUAAUACCCCAUAAAGUCAAAAUAACACAUGUUAAGCUGACCAAAGAUUUAUCGGUGAGAGAUGGGCCUGCGUCUGAUUAACUAGUUGGUGAGGUAACGGCUCACCAAGGUGACGAUCAGUAGCCGACCUGAGAGGGUGAACGGCCACAUUGGAACUGAGACACGGUCCAAACUUC